rnacentral:tRNA from 1 species
AACCUAAGAUAACUAUACUAUAUCUAUGAUACCACAAAUCAUAAUUUUUAUUAAACUACUUAAGU